rnacentral:piRNA from 1 species
UGCAGUGUUGCCAGAAUGGAGACAGAGGCAG